rnacentral:rRNA from 1 species
GACGAACGCUGGCGGCGUGCUUUACACAUGCAAGUCGAACGGCAGCACGGGGGCAACCCUGGUGGCGAGUGGCGAACGGGUGAGUAACACAUCGGAACGUGCCCAGUUGUGGGGGAUAACCUAUCGAAAGGUAGGCUAAUACCGCAUGAGCUCGGCAAGAGGAAAGCGGGGGACUCAGCGAUGGGCCUCGCGCGACUGGAGCGGCCGAUGUCCGAUUAGCUAGUUGGUGGGGAAAGGCUUACCAAGGCGACGAUCGGUAGCUGGUCUGAGAGGAUGAUCAGCCACACUGGGACUGAGACACGGCCCAGACUCCUACGGGAGGCAGCAGUGGGGAAUUUGGACAAUGGGGGCAACCCUGAUCCAGCCAUGCCGCGUGAGUGAAGAAGGCCUGGUGUAAG